rnacentral:rRNA from 1 species
GACGAACGCUGGCGGCGUGCCUAACACAUGCAAGUCGAACGGAAAGGCCCUGCUUUUGUGGGGUGCUCGAGUGGCGAACGGGUGAGUAACACGUGAGUAACCUGCCCUUGACUUUGGGAUAACUUCAGGAAACUGGGGCUAAUACCGGAUAGGAGCUCCUGCUGCAUGGUGGGGGUUGGAAAGUUUCGGCGGUUGGGGAUGGACUCGCGGCUUAUCAGCUUGUUGGUGGGGUAGUGGCUUACCAAGGCUUUGACGGGUAGCCGGCCUGAGAGGGCGACCGGCCACAUUGGGACUGAGAUACGGCCCAGACUCCUACGGGAGGCAGCAGUGGGGAAUAUUGCACAAUGGGCGGAAGCCUGAUGCAGCAACGCCGCGUGCGGGAUGACGGCCUUCGGGUUGUAAACCGCUUUCGCCUGUGACGAAGCGUGAGUGACGGUAAUGGGUAAAGAAGCACCAGCUAACUACGUG